ensembl:lncRNA
GGUUGGGGAGGCUUGUGGACUGUUGGACCGUGGCAGGCUGGCAACCUUUAGUAGAAUAAAGCAUCAUUGUCACCAGGGACCCGAGUACAGUUCCCAACACCCACGUUGGCCAUCUUAGACCAAAUCCCCCUUGACCUCCCAGGCUCCCAUCACCUCGGAUCCGCCCACUCUGGGGACAGAAGUGAAGCUGUAGUGUGGACCUUCUCGUGACUGCUUAUCUCAACAAACAUCACUUCUUCAAGACUCAUCCAUGGUGCACUGGGAGGUGAUGGCAUCCCCUUCUGUCUUCUUUUUAAUUAAAAAAAUAAUUUAUUUUUA